ACCGUAGAUUUACAUAAUUACUUAAACAAAAUCAGCAGCACUGAUGAACAAUGGGCUGUGCGUGCAUAUUAUUAGUAAGUAAAAAGUAAAAGCUGGUUUUAGUUUUAGAGACUCUACAUUGAAACUAAGAUAUUUCCUUAGUGUUAUUUACAAAUAUUAAUUGAUGUUUUCCAGCUUAUAUUUACAUAAUACAGCUUUUAUUUCCAUCUUUAUUUAAAUCCUAUUGUGGUAUUAAUAUUGUGUCUUAAACAUGAACAUUUCUUCCGUCUGCUCUUUCUUCAUAUAACAUUUCAGGUUAAGACAGACAGUGAAAUCAUCAAACUGCUCCAGCAGGACAAAAAAACAGCAGAGAAGCUGGAGCAGCUUCAGCUCCAGGGUAAGACAGACAGUGAAAUCAUCAAACAGCUCCAGCAGGACAAAAAAACAGCAGAGAAGCUGAAGCAGCUUCAGCUCCAGGGUGAGACAGAGAGUAAAAUCAUCGAUCAGCUCCAGGAGGCGAAAGACAAAGCAGAGAAUCUGAAGAAGCAGCUGGAGUCCAAAAAUUGGGAGAUGCUCUGGGCUGAGAAGAUGAGAAAUGAGGAAACUGACAGAAAACUCAAAGAGUUGGUAAAGCAGCUCGAGGAGAAGAAGAAGAAAACUGAGGAAACACUCAAUGAGGUAAAUCUUUGUCACCCAAUCAUCUGCUAU